UGCGUAGGCGGCCCGCUAAGUAGGGUGUGAAAUGCCAGAGCUCAACUUUGGCAUUGCGCUCUAGACUGACGGGCUUGAGUGAGAUAGGGGUGUGCGGAACUUCCAGUGGAGCGGUGAAAUGUGUUGAUAUUGGAAGGAACGCCGGUGGCGAAAGCGGCACACUGGGUCUUAACUGACGCUGAGGACAAGCCAGGGUAGCGAACG
rnacentral:rRNA from 1 species